UACGGAGGGGGCUAGCGUUGUUCGGAAUCACUGGGCGUAGAGCGCAUGCAGGCGGGUCGUUAAGUUAGGGGGGAAAUCCCGAGGCUCAACCUCGGAACUGCCUCUGAUACUGGCGACCUUGAGUCCGGGAGAGGUGAGUGGAACUGCGAGUGUAGAGGUGAAAUUCGUAGAUAUUCGCAAGAACACCGGUGGCGAAGGCGGCUCACUGGCCCGUAACUGACGCUCAGGCGCGAUAGCGUGGGGAUCAAACAGG
rnacentral:rRNA from 1 species